GGACGCGGAGGGGAGAGGCCGGCGGGAUGUGCAAAACUACAACUCCCAGCAGCCCGCGCGACGCUCUGCAUUUCGCCUCAGGGUGAGGAGGCGCUCUUGAGGGGAUGGCGGCAAUGCUUCCUUGCGCUCCAUCGUUGUUGGGCUCUUCAGGGACCAGAGCUUUGUUCUGCUGCCUUUCUUGUGCAUGUUCCCUUCCUGAGUGAUACAGAGGAGGAAAAGUGAAAUAUCUCUGUGGUGGUGCUGCUCCUUCAGGGGCCUGCAACCAGAGCUGCCAGAGGUGACUGCAGCCCAACACAGAGCAAACCACGCAGCACUACACUUCCCAUCAGCUCCAGCUUCACCCCGGAGGCUUUUGGACCCAAUGCCACCUACUUCCUCGUGUCAUUCUUAUUUUUUCCUGUCUCUCUCACGUGUCUCCACAUAAGGAUGUGUCGUCCAUAGCAACAUGAUGUAAUCUGGAGCCCAACAGGCAAGUUAAAGCAACGCCCCAACAGCCUGAUGCCAGCACGUUUGUCCAGAUCUCACAAUAGCUGACAAGGGAAUUUACACCCUCAGGGAAUUUGCACCUGACAGUCAGCA
rnacentral:lncRNA from 1 species